AUUGAACGCUGGCGGCAUGCCUAACACAUGCAAGUCGAACGGCAGCACGGGGGCUUGUACCUGGUGGCGAGGGCGAACGGGGGAGUAAUCCAUCGGAACAUGUCCUGUAGUGGGGGAUAGCUCGGCGAAAGGCGGAUUAUUACCGCAUACGAUAUACGGAGGAAAGGGGGGGACCUUCGGGCCUCGCGCUAUAGGGUUGGCUGAUGGCUGAUUAGCUAGUUGGUGGGGUACAGGCCUACCAAGGCGACGAGCAGUAGCUGGUCUGAGAGGACGACCAGCCACACUGGGACUGAGACACGGCCCAGACUCCUACGGGAGGCAGCAGUGGGGAAUUUUGGACAAUGGGCGAAAGCCUGAUCCAGCAAUGCCGCGUGUGUGAAGAAGGCCUUCGGGUUGUAAAGCACUUUUGUCCGGAAAGAAAUCCAUGACUCUAAUACAGUCGGGGGAUGACGGUACCGGAAGAAUAAGCACCGGCUAACUACGUG
rnacentral:rRNA from 1 species